GGGCCAAAGUUUAGGAAUUAAGGGCCAAAAAGGGGUCAAAACAAGCAUUUUUCUAGUUUCUAGACAAUAACUUAUGUGUAAGUGAAUGGAUCUCUCUGAAAUUGUACCACAAUGUACCAUAUAACAAAGGGGAGGCUGGGAUUAAGUUUGGGUUUAUUGGGCUAAAAUAUGUAGGAAUUAGAGGCAAAAAGGGCCAAAAAGAAGCAUGUUUCUAGUUUCCAAACAAUCAUGACAAUAACUUAUGUUUAAGUGUAUGGAUCUCUCUGAAAUUGUACUACAUUAGGUGCAAUACUGCAAUUGAAAGCAUGGGAUUAAGUUUAAGGGUUAUUGCUCCAAGAGGGGUUCAAAAAGUGGGGGGGGGAUUUUUGUUUACCAGUUUUUGAAGGGCUUCUUAUUUUUUUCAAAAUUUUCAAAUUCCGAAUUUUGAAAAAUUUCAAGAAGAAAUCUUCAAUUGCACAGUAUUGUGCAAUAGAUUUGUUAGAUCUUUGACCACAUUAAUUUUGUGACAAAAACCUAAAUUAUGUCAAAAAUUUAAUCACAACCCAAAUUCAGACAGAAUCAAGCUUGAAUAUUGUGAGCAAAUUUGCCCCAACUGUUCAGGGUUCAACCACUGGGGUCGUAUAAAGCUGCGCCCUGCGAGCACCUGGUUAUAGUUAUGUUUACCUUGGUUUUUGGUUAACUGCCUACAGUGCUUACAGCGCUUUGAUUUAAAAUAUUUUGAUUGAUUAGAAAUGUUAAAUCAUUGUAGUUAUGUGACUUAUAGAAUAUUUUCGCUAUUAUGUGUAUCUUUUAAAGGCUCAAAAUGACAUUUCACCCAUUUUCACCAUUUUUCCACCAAAAUUUGGGUUUUAAGGCGAUUUUUUUUUUUAUUCCUUAUUGGUGACCUAUGUUUUUUAUUUGCUCAUUCUUUAAACUAUAUUUCAGCUUUUUAUAUUACAGUUUUGGACCAAGUGUAAUAGAAGUUUUUUGAUAUUCCGAUAAAAAUAUGUCAACACCUCUAUUUUCCCUAUCAUUUCAUUGAAAAAUGGUCCUUUU
rnacentral:lncRNA from 1 species